CCUACGGGGGGCAGCAGUAGGGAAUAUUGCUCAAUGGGCGAAACCCUGAAGCAGCCACGUCGCGUGGAGGAUGACGGUUCUCGGAUUGUUAACUCCUUUUUUUAGAGAAGAUAAGGACGGCACGUGUGGAAUAUUCACCGGCUAACACCGUGCCAGCACCCGUGGGAAUAUGGCAGGUGCAGCCGUUAUACGGAAUCACUGGGCGUAAACAGCGAGUAGGGGGGUUAGCAAGUCAGAAGUGAAAUCUUAUGGCUUAACCAUAGAACUGCAUUUGAAACUGUUAUUCUUGAGUAUGCGCGAGGUAGGCGGAAUUCGUGGUGUAGCGGUAAAAUCCGUAGAGAUCAAGAAGAACACUGAUUGCGAAGGCGGCCUGCUAGAGCGUAACUGACGCUGAUGCGCGAAAGCGUGGGGAGCAAACAGGAUUAGAUACCCGAGUAGUC
rnacentral:rRNA from 1 species